rnacentral:rRNA from 1 species
GCCUACGGCCAUACCACCAUGAAGGCACCCGGUCUCAUCUGAUCUAGGAAGUUAAGCAGGGUUGGGCCUGGUUAUUACUUGGAUGGGAGACCGCCUGGGAAUACCAGGUGCUGUAGGCU